GUCUGGAGGUGUUCCGGUAAAUGUCAGGCAGGAAGGCUGGGUGGAGGAUCCAUGACAAGAACGAGAUCCAUUGUCUUCUGCAUGAUUCAAGACAGAGGGGAGAGGCUGAGAGAAUUGGGAUGGCAUUCCAGCCCUUGUCUACGUGGUGCACGUUGCAUCUGACAGAUACUCAAUCAAGAUCUGAGAAUCUCGCCUGGGUCCAAGUCGCCCAAGUUUGGGGUUCGGCGCGAGAGCUCGAGAGUGGAUCCGUGCCAGUGCACAUUUGCUGGCGCAUCAGCAGGUGCCCUCCAGUCAAAAGCAGUGCAGGCAGCCACGGCCAGGGAUGCAAGAGCUCCUCCAGGACGUAUGUGACAGUAUAUACUCCCAGCAUGGAUGACAUCCAAUUACCCAGUGAACACCGGGGCGCAGCUCUUACGCUGCUGAUUACUAGCCCUCUGACAUAGCCCUGAGGCUCCUGCACAGGCAUGAGGUCUGCUGAGGAGAUGAGCAGAUGAACUGAAGCCUGCGAGAGCUCUGCUUUCACUGCUCCCCGAUGUCACAGCACUGAACGGGGCACACUGGAACAUAGAGGGGGUAUUAUCAAAAUGCGCCGCCGAUUUUAUCUGGACAAACGCUGCAGGAUGCCAAAAUUCAAACUGUUUAGGAAAAUACAGUUGAUCAGUUCUACAACAUGGUUUCCAAGUAAGCCUAUAUACACCAUUAUUUAUAUUUUUUGGUAAAAAAAUACUAAAAAAGCCUGAGGUCACCUCCUCAGCUCUUAUUCAACCCCAGUAUACAUAUAUACACAGAUUUACUAUCAUCACUGUGUCCACCUGUGAGAUACACACCUUACCCUUUUCAUCCAUUUCCGUCAGGGAGUUGUUGGAUGGUGAUGUGUCUGUGUGUGCCCUGUCUACCAACCUACCUGGCUCUUCCCAUACAGGACGUGAAAAACAGUAGCUGAUGAGAGUGAUGCUUAGCAAAGUGAUGGGAGUAGCUGUGGAUUGGGAAGAAAAAAGAGAAGAAAAAAUAGGAAACGUCUUCCUAAAACUGACCCAACCAAAUUUUAACAAUAACAAUUUUCUCAGUUGGUUACAAUUGUAUGUAGAGAGUCUUAAAUAAACACUCACACAGUAGAUGGACAGGGGAAAGAAAAAUGAAAACUGCUUUUAGAUCUACGUAAGCAAGCCUGUGGAAAAGUUCCUCCUCACAUUUGAACUGGUAUAUAAUCAACAGUUGAGGAGGUUUUGAAACAUAAGCAAGACAUAAUUUAUUAGAAUAGACACAUUUCUGUGCUUUAAAAUGUUCUGCACUUUAUCUAAAUACAUUUCUAUGUACCAGUAACAAUGACAUCAUAUCUUAACAGAGAAAUGUGUGUGCACAAUUAAUUGGUACCCAUGUGAAUUGUGGCUGUAAUAUAUGACUACAAACCACAUUUAAUAUUUGUUCAACAUUUGUCUUUUUUUUUUUUUGGUAAGAAGGUAGUCCUGACAUUACUUAGCAAUUCUAUAACCUCAAAAUUAUUUGAACAUUUCUAAGACGCAUCCUGAUAUAGCAGGCUCAAAUCCCUGCCAGUCAUCUCCCUUCCACCUGAACAGGCUCUACUGCAGCCAGUACUUGAAUUAACGCAGAGCUGAUUGUUUAGACAGGCAGUCACAUUAGA